rnacentral:lncRNA from 1 species
CGACUCCUUAAAAAUAAUUCAGCCUCCAUUCUCUAGGCGGGCUCCUGACUUCAACAACUUUCUUAAAAGUAACACCUCCGUUCUCCAGGCGGGCUCCUGACUUCAACGACUCCUUAAAAAUAAUUCAGCCUCCAUUCUCCAGGCAUGCUCCUGACUUCAACAACAUUCUUAAAAAGUAACACCUCCAUUCUCCAGGCGGGCUCCUGACUUCAACGACUUUUUAAAACUUAACACCUCCAUUCUCCAAGCGGGCUCCUCACUUCAACCACUUUUUAAACGUAACACCUCCAUUCUCCAGGCGGGCUCCUAACUUCAACAACUUUCUUAAAUUUUAACACCUCCAUUCUCCAGGCGGGCUCCUGACUUCAACAACUUCUUAAAAGUAACACCUCCAUUCUCCAGGCGGGCUCCUGACUUCAACAACUUUGAAAAUAAAUCAGCCUCCAUUCUCUAGGCGGGCUCCUGACUUCAGC